rnacentral:rRNA from 1 species
AGGAGUGGAGCCUGCGGCUUAAUUUGACUCAACACGGGAAACCUCACCAGGCCCGGACACCGGAAGGAUUGACAGAUUGAGAGCUCUUUCUUGAUUCGGUGGGUGGUGGUGCAUGGCCGUUCUUAGUUGGUGGAGCGAUUUGUCUGGUUAAUUCCGAUAACGAACGAGACUCUAGCCUGUUAACUAGGCGUAUUUCCGACAUCUCAAAGGCCCGCCGGCCCGGCGCGCGCCGGCGUCGCGCGCGGUUUUUACUGUCGGCGUACAAAUUAUUCUUCUUAGAGGGACAGGCGGCUUCUAGCCGCACGAGAUUGAGCAAUAACAGGUCUGUGAUGCCCUUAGAUGUUCUGGGCCG